rnacentral:misc_RNA from 1 species
GAAAGUUUUAGGAGGGACCAAAUCAAAGUCAAAGGCUUAGGAGGGAUGAAUUCAGAGCCAAAUGUUUAGAAGGGGCGAUUUGAGAAUCUAGUUUGUAGCAAUAAUAUAUACGACAUUUGUAUACGGGUGUUACUGCUGACGCAUACCAAAAAAUUCAAAAGGAGGACAAAACAAGGUUAUUGAAAGGGCUUCCACCAAGGUGUAAGGUGGACUGUGCAAAGGGACAAUUGGCAGCAAAAUGUCCAACGGGUGUGGCAUUGCCAAGGCAAGAAGGGCUACGGCAAUAUUGCUCACAAAGGCACAAGAAUUGACGCAAGGCCAAGGGUGAGGCAAGGGCAUCCAGCUACAAGGACGAUCGGGGUGCUGUUGGAGCACAAUAAGGGAGAGCUCGAGGUGAUACUCCUAAGAAAGAUGCAAGGAGUGUCAAGAGGUGGAGGAACACGGUGGGGAGUGUUUAUGAUGUAUCAACUCAAGAUGAAUUUCAUUAAGACAUAACACAAGAAAGUUUCAUUUGUGGAGGAGGCAAAUGAAAAGACAAUUUGGUGUGCGAGCGUUUUUAUUUCUUUUUGGGUGGAGAAUUGUUAAGAGUAAAGAAUUAAAAAAAAAAGGG